UCAGAACAUCCACCAAAGCACCUCAGGAGUUUAUUAAAGAGAAGAAGUGGAAUAUUCUUCAAUGUCCAAGUCCGUCACCUGAUCCUAACCCAGCUCAGCAUUUCACUCUGAACUUUGGACAGAAAGGCCACAAACAAACAUCAGCUGAAGGUCGUUGCAGUAAAGGCGUGGCAGAGCAUUAAAAAGCAGGAAACUAGCAUUCAGCAAAGUGUUUGGAAUAAAGUCAUAGAAACGAUCAUUUUAUUUUCAGUUAUUUAAUUUGUCCAAAUUCUUUAGAGCUUCUAAAACAAAGGGAUUGUGCUAACAGUACUUUAGUUUCUCGCAUUUUUAUGUAAUCUUUUUGUCCAACCCACUGAAUCAAAGCUGCAAGUCUGCAUUUCAUUGUGGUAAUGUACAGAGCCAACAUUAGAAAAUAAGUCUCUGUACAAAUAUUUAUGGACCUGACUGUAUAUAAAAACCUACGAGCCUACGAGCGUCACAGAAAACGAUGCUGCCUCAGGUUCCUUCAAAGUUUUCUUCCACUUUACCGCAGCUUCUGCUAACGGCUGCUUCUAAAGCCGACAUGACAGAUGUCAUCAUAUCUGAGCCCAGACUGGUUUUUAUGUUUCCAGGCUAGAAACAUUUUUAACCUUUGCUACAAAACAAAGACAAACCAUAGCCGAAGCUUUGUUUUGGAUGUAAAUCACAUUUCUUUUCAUUUGACAUCACACCUCUUUGCUAUUCUUUGAAAAGGUUCAGAUUGCGUCCAACUGUCGCAUUUCUUACUCUGUCCAGACUCCGCUGCACUUCUUACAUCCUCAGAUUUGUUCCUUUCCUUCCUUGAGUUCACAGACGCGCUUUGACAGCUCGAUUCUUGGACUCUCAGAUGUUUGACGAGUGCAGCGUCAGACUCAUUACGUUUUCUCUUCCCUCAGAGUGACGCUGGCUGAUGAAUCUCAGUGGCUGAUCCACAAAGGUCAAGGCUACAGCAUCUCCUCUGAGACGGUGGUGACCAGCGCUCGGCACAUGAGCUCAGACUGGAAGCCCGUGUUUCACCUGAGCAGACAGUUUAACGGGAGGAAGAAAGUUGCCGACUUUGUGAAA